GACGAACGCUGGCGGCGUGCCUAAUACAUGCAAGUCGAACGCUGAAGGAGGAGCUUGCUCUUCUGGAUGAGUUGCGAACGGGUGAGUAACGCGUAGGUAACCUGCCUGGUAGCGGGGGAUAACUAUUGGAAACGAUAGCUAAUACCGCAUAACAGUAGAUGUUGCAUGACAUUUACUUAAAAGGUGCAAUUGCAUCACUACCAGAUGGACCUGCGUUGUAUUAGCUAGUUGGUGGGGUAACGGCUCACCAAGGCGACGAUACAUAGCCGACCUGAGAGGGUGAUCGGCCACACUGGGACUGAGACACGGCCCAGACUCCUACGGGAGGCAGCAGUAGGGAAUCUUCGGCAAUGGACGGAAGUCUGACCGAGCAACGCCGCGUGAGUGAAGAAGGGUUUCGGAUCGUAAAGCUCUGUUGUAAGAGAAGAACGAGUGUGAGAGUGGAAAGUUCACACUGUGACGGUAGCUUACCAGAAAGGGACGGCUAACUACGUG
rnacentral:rRNA from 1 species